AGGCGAGCGGAGGGGGCGCUGGGUAAUGAGUUGCCGCAGGGGCAGGGCGCCGAGACCGAGAAUUAGCUGCGGCCGGCGCCUGGAGACGCUGACGUCUGGCGUCCGUAGGGGCCGAGGGACCCUCGGGCGGGCGGCAACAAGGACCGUGUGGCCGCUACUUGUCCCUGCACUCGCCUUCUGUCCUCGCCAUAGGAGCGCGGCGUCCGCCAUGGAAGCGCAUCCGGCCGCCGCCGUCGUUUCCGGGCGCUGGGGCCCCAGCUCCCCGGAGCGAUGAGGGGGUAGUGGCGCUCCGCCGCCCGCCUGCCUCCCUCGCCCCGGCCGCCCCGGAGAGAAGGAGGGUCGGGCGGGCGGGCGGUCAGCGCUGCCGUGUCCGCCCCGCCCCCUGGGGGCACUGCCGAGGGGCGCCCGCCCGGCCGCUGAAGCCCGGGACGCGCCGCCCGCCCGCGCCCUCCGCCCCCCAAGAUGUGGCAGAACGUCGGGCUGACCGUGCUCGUGUUCGUGGCCACGCUGCUGAUCGUCCUGCUGCUGAUGGUGUGCGAGCACUCACUCUAAUGACAGGAAACAAUGUCUCCUGCACCCUAGAGGCUCCCUCACGCCCGAGACUGCUCUGCUGCUCAAGUCUGCUACUUCCCUCAGUCAGUGCACAGAGGAGUGACCCGUGCUGCAGCCUGAAGGCUUUGGCAGAAAUAUGACUGGAACCAGCCAGCACUGGCAGAGCUAUUGCAGCAGGGUGCCACGGACAUGGACCAAGGUGCUUUCCAACCUUCGGUCACCCUCCCCCUCAAGAGGUGGACCAGAUGCCCCAAGAAGCUGCAGCACUUGUGUCUGUGAAGUCGUCCUGGCCUGGCCCCCGUGGCUGUGCCCUGGUUCCUGAGGGCCACAGGAGAACAGAUAGCUUCCAUUGACCGGGACAGUUUCUUUUGUGGAAUCAUGCAACAUUGCGCCACCAGGUGGUGCUGACACCUGAUUUGGAGUGAUGCUCUCUGAAGUGGGGCACAGGGCAAAGGGUAAAUUCAGGGAUUGGCCCCUGAGCCUUGAGCUUGAGUUCGCAUGCAGCCAUAUAGUGGUUCUCACCUGUCUGAGUUCUGACAUUUUUUUCAUGAAAUUGUUUACAUAGACAGAAACCCCACAAAAAAUAUUUGCUGGGGCUCACACAUGUCAGGAGUAGCCCUGAUCUGAUGUAAACACCUGUAUUAUUUGAAAGAUUUCAAUAAGAACAAGUAAAAGUACAUAACAUUGUGACAAAUCAAAGCAAAUGUUUUAUUCUAGAAGAUAAUGUUGGUAAUUGGGAGAAAAGAGCUGAUUGUGAUUGGAGCCCUUCUCACAAAAUCCAGAGUCAGGGAGCCCAUUGAGCUAUACAGUGAGCUAUUUUUACAGCUUUUAAAAAAUGUAUCAAGAUGUAACCAACCUUUAACUCCCUUGGCCAUAUUUGGCAACAGCUUAGAAGAGGCCACGUCCCAGCACAGGGGCAAGGCAGCUUUGUACUCUCUGCCGGUUAUGUUACGCUUCACAGAGUUCAGCACUGCGUUUACAUGAUGCAGUGUAACGUUCUUAUAUAUCCAUCUCUCCCCAUCACACUCCAACGCAUGUUUUCCAAAGAAGUCAUCUGAGCUAUAGAGAGAGUAGAAGGUCAGAGAGAGAUUAGCCCAGGAAGAGCCAACCUUCCAGAGAUAUAGUGAACUUCUUCCUGCUAAAAUCAGAGACUGAAAUCCUCUCACUGUUCUAUCUUCACCUCUAGUGUGCAUCUCUCUGCUGAGUCAGGAAAUUCUGUAUCAUCCAAAGAAAAUGCUGUGUCUCGUUCACUAAAAAGCCCCACAUCCUAUCCCUGCUCUACACUGAUUCUUCACCCUCCCCCACAAGACAGCUCCAGGAGUCUGUCUACAGCAGACUGGAUGCAGUGGAGAGGCCCUUGCAGGGCACACUGGGUCCUUCCUGUGACAUGAUUUCUGACAGGCAGAGGCUAUGUCGUCUGCUUUUCAUGUUCAUGAGUGUACGCUGAGUGUGGAAUGGGACAUGUAGGUGGGCGUGGGAGAAGAUGUGUGUGUUGGCACAGGCAGAGCAGAAAGGGGCAACACGGAGUGGACGCUUCAGCCACUUAUGGUUGGAUCCAGCUGGGCACCAGGACACAUGCCAGUAACACGGCUGUGUGUGACAGGUGUAAGGACGCCUGCCUAAUGUCUCCCAUCACCACCCACAGCCUACUGACCACACCAUCGAUCCUGUCAGUCCCAGUCGAUCCUCAGAAUCUGUGGACCUGGUCCUCCCCCAAACUGAGCGGGAGCUCACAGAACUAGACAGAAUGGCCUGGAUUUAUUUUGGAAGAGAGUCACAGAUGCACGGUGGGUGAGGAUGAGAAAAUCCAGUAGUCUGUGAGGGGGGGUUGAGGGAGGGGGCUCACAGCCAGGCUGCUAGUCUCAUGUCACAAGGGAUGCCCACGACUGAACUAGCAGGACUUGAAGACAGAC